ensembl:miRNA
UUGCCGUCCCCUUCCUCGUCUUUUCCCCUCAGGAGAAAUCGGGAAGGUGGCGGCGG